rnacentral:lncRNA from 1 species
AUGUGUAUACCUAUAACAAUAUACAUAUGUAUGCAUCCAGAUAUUAAACAGGGAAGGCCGGACUUCAGAUCCCACACCCCAGAAUUCAACACAACACUGUGGAAGAUAAGUCUUUUUGUCUCUCUUGGGACUCUGACAUUAUCACAAAGCUGUGAGGCUGAAGACUCUCAGGACACGUGCCAAGUCUCUGAGGCUCACAUCAAAACAGAGAAUUAGCAACUGUAGAAACCCUGUGUACAGAAGGUCAGGUGUGCCGUUUGCAAUGGAUGACAGAUGGAGGAAUAUGUGCUGCUUUGCAGACUUCAUAUUCUGUCGUAUUUUAGUCAUAGUGUCUGUUGCUGUUGAUUCCCACAUUUUUGUGUUUGUCACUUGGAUAUAUAAGACAUACCUUUAUUGUAUCUAAGCUUUAGGGUUUUGUAAAGAUGCAGUAACUUGAACAUUUUCAUCUGCACUGUAAUUGGAUGUUGUCAGUCUAAUGACAUGGCUCAGGUGUGCUUGAAUCUGUGCUAGUUGCUUAUAUGCAAAGGGAGCAAAGGAAAAACCUGAGAAUAUGUAAUGCUCUUCUAGUCAUUUUAUAACUCAUGAAGUUCAGUGAGUGGAUCAUGCAUAUUAGAAUUUGUUUUCUUAUUUUAUCGAGAUGCUUAGAAGGAGACAAACAUUUCUAUAUCCCUAUACGUGUACAUUACCUGUAAUCCUUUUCUCUGUAUAUUUAUAUCUGCUGAGAUCAAAAACUUGCAGGAGCUAACAUGAUCUUGAGAUGUCAACUUGUCUUUGAGAUCUAUGUUAAGGGACACAGAAGUAAAUGAUGUAAUGGUGUUCUGCAUUGCUAGGCUAGGUUCAAAAACUAAUUAGGAUGCAAACAAGAAUGAAUGUGUAAUGGUCUAAUUCUAGAGCUGGGUAGAAAUUUUACUGCAGCAGAGUUAAGCAAAUAAUCUCCAAUGAAUAAUUGAUUUCAAUGUCACCUUUACUGUUUAUGAAUUAUCCACUAGCCUCAUGCAAAUUUCACUGGUUUGUUCAUUUUAUCCUAUUUGUGCAUUUUUUAAAGAUUGGUCAUUUUUUGAACAGUGUAUGUGAACACAGGCAGAUAAUCU